GUGGGGAAUUUUGGACAAUGGGCGCAAGCCUGAUCCAGCAAUGCCGCGUGCAGGAAGAAGGCCUUCGGGUUGUAAACUGCUUUUGUACGGAACGAAAAGGCUCUGGCUAAUACCUGGAGCUCAUGACGGUACCGUAAGAAUAAGCACCGGCUAACUCCGUGCCAGCAGCCGCGGUAAUACGGAGGGUGCAAGCGUUAUCCGGAUUCACUGGGUUUAAAGGGUGCGUAGGCGGUUUUAUAAGUCAGUGGUGAAAUCAACGGGCUCAACCUGUUAACUGCCAUUGAUACUGUAGGACUUGAAUAUGAGAGAGGUAGGCGGAAUGUUGCAUGUAGCGGUGAAAUGCUUAGAUAUGCUACGGAACACCGAUUGCGAAGGCAGCUUACUAUUUCAUGAUUGACGCUGAGGCACGAAAGCGUGGGUAGCGAACAGGAUUAGAAACCCGAGUAGUCC
rnacentral:rRNA from 1 species